rnacentral:rRNA from 1 species
GUCCACGCCCUAAACGAUGUCGACUAGUUGUUGGGGGGGUUAAAUCCCUUAGUAACGAAGCUAACGCGUGAAGUCGACCGCCUGGGGAGUACGGUCGCAAGAUUAAAACUCAAAGGAAUUGACGGGGCCCGCACAAGCGGUGGAUGAUGUGGUUUAAUUCGAUGCAACGCGAAAAACCUUAACCUACCCUUGACAUGUGAGGAACCCUGCAGAGAUGCGGGGGUGCCCGAAAGGGAGCCUCAACACAGGUGCUGCAUGGCUGUCGU